rnacentral:misc_RNA from 1 species
AAGUCGUAACAAGGUUUCCGUAGGUGAACCUGCGGAAGGAUCAUUCGCGAGACGAGUAGCGAGCGAAGCGAGCUACGAGUCGAGUCAUCAGUGCUUGACGUGUAACAUUGAAUAUGAAAAUAAAGAAAACAAAAACAAACAAAAAACUAUGAACAACGGAUCUCUAGGCUCUU